rnacentral:snRNA from 1 species
UCCCACUACAUAGAGUACCUGA